rnacentral:rRNA from 1 species
GACGAACGCUGGCGGCGUGCUUAACACAUGCAAGUCGAACGGAAAGGCCUGCUUUCCCUUGUGGAUUGCGGGUACUCGAGUGGCUAACGGGUGAGUAACACGUGAGUGAUCUGCCCCCAACUUGGGUAUAAGCCUGGGAAACUGUGUCUAAUUCCCGAUAGGACUGCAGGGUGGUGCCUGUGGUGGAAAACGUUUUUCUAGUUGUUGGGGAUGAGCUCGCGGCCUAUCAGCUUGGUGGUGGGGUAAUGGCCUACAAAGGCGGCGACGGGUAGCCGGCCUGGGAGUGUGGACGGCCACAUUGGGACUGCGAUACGGCCCAGACUCGUACGGGCGGCAGCAGUGGGGAAUAUUGCGCAAAGUGCGGAAGCCUGAUGCAGCGCCGCAGCGUGGGGGAUGACGGCCUUCGGGUUGUAAACUCCUUUCGACCGCGAGGAAGCCACCUGGUUGGAAGGGUGGUGACGGUAGUGGUAGAAGAAGCCCCGGCUAACUACGUG